UGGUAUCGGAGGCGAGGCGCCUUCCUGGACAAGUAUUGACGCUGAGGCGCGAAAGCGUGGGAGAAACAGGAUUAGAUACCCUGGUAGUCCACGCCGUAAAGAGGACUAGAUUUGGGAUUGUUGACCGAUUCCGAGUCAAAGCUAACGCAUUAAGUGCACCGCCUGGGGAACGGUCGCAAGACUAAAACUCAAAGGAAUUGACGGGGGCCCGCACAAGCGGUGGAUUAUGUGGUUUAAUUCGAAGCAACGCGCAGAACCUUACCUGGGCUUGAACUCCUACGAACCUGCUAGAGAUAGCGGGGUGCCCUUUGGGGAAUGUAGUGAGAGGCGCUGCAUGGCUGUCGUCAGCUCGUGUCGUGAGAUGUUGGGUUAAGUCUCGCAACGAGCGCAACCCCUAUCCUUUGUUGCCAGCAUUAAGUUGGGCACUCUGAGGAGACUGCCUGGGUUAACCAGGAGGAAGGUGGGGAUGACGUCAAGUCCUCAUGGCCCUUAUGUCCAGGGCUACACACGUAAUACAAUGGUCAGUACAGAGGGAAGCGAACUCGCGAGGGGGAGCAAAUCUCAAAAAGCUGAUCUCAGUCCGGAUUGGAGUCUGCAACUCGACUCCAUGAAGUUGGAAUCGCUAGUAAUCGUGGAUCAGCACGCCACGGUGAAUACGUUCCCGGGCCUUGUACACACCGCCCGUCACACCAUGGGAGUUGACCUUACCUACCCGGCAAAGCUAUCCACGAUACAGAUUCCAUUUGGAAUUCGACUCCAUCCGGACUGAGAUACUUUUUGAGAUUUGCUCCCCCUGAGUUCUUCCCUCUGACGAUGUUAGACCUGGAUAGGCGAGAUUAUCUCCCCCUUCCUCCUGGUACGGCUCUCAAGCCAUUAAUGCUGGAAAAAGAUGGGUUGCUUCAAUUAACAAUCUAACAAUAAAGCCAGCCUAUAUUCUCAGAGACCCCUUUCUUGUAGAAAAACAAAGUUGGUGUCAAAAAACAAUACACGGGGCCCCACUCAUAUGUGUAUAAUG
rnacentral:rRNA from 1 species